UCCACUCCCACCCCACCGAACUCUCUUGUGAAUCCCUAAAAAAACUCUCGCGAACCUCACCCCCACCCCUUGGUCGACCUCCUCUCCCCCACGAUCUCUUCCCCGCCGCCGCCACCCACGCCGGCCGGUUCCAGCGAGCUCCGGCCGCGCGCAACAUGCCCCCAAGCUCCACCCCUCCCCCCCCUCGUCCAGAUACGUGCCUCAAGGCCUGCAUCCUUGCCUGCGGCUAGGGUUUCAGGCGCCUCCCGUGUUCUUGCCGGAAUCCACCACAAUCGGCGAUGGCGAGGCCGGCGCUUGCGGGAUCCGUCACCGGCGUUGCCCAGGUGCAGUGGGAGGAUGAAGAUGAAGAGGACGAAGCGGGCGACUAUGAAGAGGUAUUAUGGUGGAGGCAAGAUGCAAGGAUAUGUGCUAGACGGAGGAGAGAUUCAGUGACCCCAAGGAUGGACCAAACAGCAGCAGCAGCAUCACAGUAGAACAGUAGAAGCAGCAGCCGCCGCGUUGCUACCACCGCCACCGCUGCUUGGAUUCCAUCGAGGCCAUCUGGACUCGCCUCGCUGCCGCCGCCUGUUGGCCGUCACCAUCAAGGCCAAUCUUCAGUUGAGAUUGGAAGCAUCAAUCAUGUAUUAUUGGUAUGAGGAUUCAGUAAAUUGAUGAUCAUUCAGUCAUGGAGACGAGUUGAUGAAAAGAGGCAUGAAUGCAACUUAUGGGGCAGUAUUUUGAUCUCAUCUCAUGCAUUCAAUUAUUCUUUGUCUUUAUAACAUGCAAUUUUACUAAUUAUUCAUAUAUACUUGCCGUAUCGCCGUAUUGCUGUUUCUGGAAAUUGCCGUAUCCUAUAUCGCCGUACCCGUAUCGUCGUAUCCGUGUCGCCGUAUCGGUGCUACGUAGGUUGAUAGCUUAGUCUUUUUGGAUGGUCCUCUAUCUGUAUAGCAUUACAAGCAACAACCACUGAGCCAUGACAGUCUUUCUAGAUCGUAUUCUAUCUACAUACUCUUACAAGAAACAUGCAACGAGUUAUGAUAUAUAUUUCCAUUCUCAAAAUAACUAUCUUUGAUGCUUCUGAAUAUUUAGCUUUCAAAAUGACUUUACCGAAUAUGUAAGAUUCUAUGCCUAUAAUUUUACUUUUUCACUCUUAAUUUUUGCAAUAGUAUGAUACUCUAUGUAGUUUGUUCUUUAUUAGAAGGAAUUAAAUUUACUGGAAUAGUCUAUUUUACACACACACACACACACACACACACACACACAUUAUUACUUAAUACAUCCAUAUGAGAUUAAAAAACGUACUGGUAUUUAUAUUUUUGAUAUAAUAUAAGUGCACCAGCUCAUACUUUUCAAUAAAAUCACUACAUUGGUUUGAAAGUAGAAACUCCUCAUUUCUUUCCAAUUUAAGACCGCAUUAGAGAAUAUACAUAACACAUCUAUUUUAUUGGUGUGACAAAUUUGCAAGUGCAGUAGCUUAACUGUCACUAAUAUAUGAAAUGUUGCUCUAAGUCUCUUAUGUCACAUGAAUGAAUGUUAUUACAAAAUUUCCUUAUAAAUAUAGUAAUAAACGGGAAGUUGUCAUGUCGACUAUAAUGAACAAUGAUAUUUAUAAUGACCAAGUGUUGUUACUGCUGAUGAUUACUAGUAAUACAACAAUAAUACAUCCGCAACCAAGGGUUAAAUUAAAAUGACCUGACAAUAAAGGGUACAAUGUUGGUAAUAAUCUGCUGUUGCUGAUGCCUUCUUGCUUGCUUGCUUGCGAAUGACCUGGGAAUUACUCCUACUUGGUGCACAAACUUUGCUUGUUGCAAUUUUCCUCAAAAGCUUGGAUUCAGAAUCUAUAAUAAGAUUUGGUCAUGCCUAGCACUGUAUCCUUCUUAAGUUGGGUUUUCCCCAAUUUCUAGGAUUGGUCUGUUAGGUACUCCUUAUAAUUCGUAUAUACUAUGCUGCUGCUAUAUGCUUUUGUUUCUGCGGUUGUUACUUAGUGCUCUAUAGGUUACUAUUAUACUGUACUAAUGCUCCAGGUUCUUUUGAGUUCCUAAUAGUGGUCUUGGUUCAUUGUUUAAUUCCAGGAUUUGUGAGUUCCUAGUAGGGAACACAUGGGCAUGAAGCUACGACAGUGACGAAGACGAUAUCGACAUGGGGCUGCGGCGAUGAUGAUGACGACGACAUCGACAUCGACUCAGGGCUACGGCGACGACGAAGACAAUGACAUCGUCAUGGUGCUGCGGCGGCGGCGACGACGAUGGCAUCAACACCAUCAACACGGCCUUGUGGAGGCGCCGACGCUGACGACAUAGACGCGUGGCACAUAUUGUGUGUGUGUGUGUGUGGGUGUGCAUGCGUGUGUGUGUGUGUGCACACGCGUGCAUGCAUGUGUGCUUGUGCGUGUGUUAAUUAUCUACAUCAGAUAUGUAUGAUUGAUGAUUAACUGUAUGCAUAACAUGUACGUAUUGUGAAAUGCAUGUCAUGUCUAAACUGAA